rnacentral:rRNA from 1 species
CCUACGGGAGGCAGCAGUAAGGAAUAUUGGUCAAUGGACGCAAGUCUGAGCCAGCCAUGCCGCGUGCAGGAUGACGGCCCUCUGGGUUGUAAACUGCUUUUAUACGGGAAGAAACCUCUGGUUGCGAUCAGAGCUGACGGUACCGUAAGAAUAAGGACCGGCUAACUUCGUGCCAGCAGCCGCGGUAAUACGAAGGGUCCAAGCGUUAUCCGGAUUUAUUGGGUUUAAAGGGUGCGUAGGCGGCUUAUUAAGUCAGUGGUGAAAGACUUCAGCUUAACUGAAGAACUGCCAUUGAUACUGAUGAGCUUGAAUAUACUUGAGGUGGGCGGAAUGUGUCAUGUAGCGGUGAAAUGCUUAGAUAUGACACAGAACACCGAUUGCGAAGGCAGCUCGCUAAAGUAUGAUUGACGCUGAUGCACGAAAGCGUGGGGAGCAAACAGGAUUAGAUACCCUGGUAGUCCACGCCCUAAACGUUGAUAACUCGAUGUGUGCGAUAUACAGUACGCGUCCAAGCGAAAGCAUUAAGUUAUCCACCUGGGAAGUACGGUCGCAAGAUUGAAACCUGAAUGAAUUAGACGNUUGAGAGNGCGAGCGACGACGAGGGAGAGG